UGGAUCUGUCAGCCCCAGAGAGGCAGCAGAGAUGAGGGGCAGGAUUGUAACAUGCAGGACCCAGUGGCAUUUACAUAAUUUUGAAUAAUGAAUAAGCCCAGCUCUGGGGUUCCUAGUCAGCACUGCUCAUCUGCAUCUUUAUUAAGCUUUAUAAAUGAUUCAGCUCCCCACUCCUUCCUUCAGCCUUGCCCAGCCUGCCCCUGAGCAUCAGGGUAGUUGAUUGCUCAUUAUUUUAGACUAGAUUUGUUUCACCAACAUUCAGUGAGGCAUGGAGUGGGGACACAGGAGGACAGGAGGGAGGAACAAACCCAAAAGAGAGCUGAAUACACCUGAAAGAAGAGGCUGGAGAAGACCCGGCUCUCAACUUGUUGGGCUGGCAGAUUCGGGCUGGUGCUCUGCCAGCUGCUUGGCCUAUGGCUAGAGCCUGGGAGAAAUAUUUAACAGCCUGGUGGUGAAGUUGGCAAGAAACUCCUGGUGGAGAAAAGAGAAUCAAUACUGGAGUAUUUCCUGAUGAAAGGCCAUCAGAUCUGCAGUCGGCCUCAACAUCGGCCAGUGGAGGGAAUGGGGAAGUAGACAGGGCAAGAUUGAUAACUGUUGAGGCUGUGGGAGGGGUAAAGAGGUUUAUUUUAUUACUCCUUUUACUUUUUGUACACAAAGCAAAUAGCAGUAGCUCCUUGAGUGUUUCUGAUAUGCAGCAGAGCCUGGUGUUUAGGAGCAUAGGCUGCCACUGACCUGUGUGAAAGAGAAGAACCAGCUUCUAGGGAGAGACUUGGUUUGGUGGACCCUACAUAAGAGGGGAGGGCCCUGGCCCUAAGCAGUACAGCAGGGCCCACUUGGGGGCAUAAAUAACUGGCAGCUAGAAAUGCAACUCUGGGGCCAAAGGGCUCUGCAGGCUUCUUCCUUGUGUGUCUACCCAACCUCUGGGGACUCAAAACCCUCACACUCCACAAACCAGGCCUAGCAUCUGGCUGGACCCAGGAAAGCCAGCUGCCUGCCUGAGACACCCGACAUGAGCAAUCAGCCUUGUUCUUCUCGUCCUGACUGGCUUUAUAGGAAACCAGAACCCCCACUGCCCUUCCCUACUGCUUCCUGGUGCUGUCAUUCUCUCUGACUGGCUCAUCUGCCUCUGCCAGGGAACAUUAGCCCAGCUGACUUCAUCAGAGAGGUGAAAGGUGGUGUGAACACAUGUCCGUAAAUUCACAGGCAUCCAGGCACUCACAGUUAGGG